UGGGGAAUUUUGGACAAUGGGCGAAAGCCUGAUCCAGCAAUGCCGCGUGUGUGAAGAAGGCCUUCGGGUUGUAAAGCACUUUUGUCCGGAAAGAAAUCCUUGGCUCUAAUACAGUCGGGGGAUGACGGUACCGGAAGAAUAAGCACCGGCUAACUACGUGCCAGCAGCCGCGGUAAUACGUAGGGUGCAAGCGUUAAUCGGAAUUACUGGGCGUAAAGCGUGCGCAGGCGGUUUGCUAAGACCGAUGUGAAAUCCCCGGGCUCAACCUGGGAACUGCAUUGGUGACUGGCAGGCUAGAGUAUGGCAGAGGGGGGUAGAAUUCCACGUGUAGCAGUGAAAUGCGUAGAGAUGUGGAGGAAUACCGAUGGCGAAGGCAGCCCCCUGGGCCAAUACUGACGCUCAUGCACGAAAGCGUGGGGAGCAAACAGGAUUAGAUACCCUGGUGNGCCACGCCCUAAACGAUGUCAACUAGUUGUUGGGGAUUCAUUUCCUUAGUAACGUAGCUAACGCGUGAAGUUGACCGCCUGGGGAGUACGGUCGCAAGAUUAAAACUUAAAUGAAUUGACGGGGUCAUAGCUGUUUCCU
rnacentral:rRNA from 1 species